rnacentral:tRNA from 1 species
GGUGAGUUGGCUCAGUGGUAAGAGCGUAGGCCUAGUAACCCAACGGUUGCAGGAGCGAAUCCCGCUAGAGGCUG